UCUUUUUCACCUGCAAAAUGCAUGAUCUUGUACACGAUCUAGCUAUAUCAGUAGCACAAAGUGAGUGCUCAACUGUAACCUUUCUCACCCCAACUGUUAAUGAAAAAAUUCGUCAUUUUUCUUUUUUGGGCACUAAUUUGCCGGGCCAAGAAGUUCCGAAGUUCUUACACAAGCUAGAUCGGGUGAGAACCAUAUUUUUCCCAGUCAGAGGGAUGGGACCUAGCAGCGAAACAUUUAUUGAUGCCUGUUUAUCAAGAUUCAAACACUUACGGGUGCAAUCUUAGUGAUUCAUGUUUUGAGGCAUUGCCUAAUUCAAUUGGUACCUUGAAGCAUUUGAGAUAUCUUGACCUUUAUAGGAAUCGUAAGAUCACGAAACUC
rnacentral:misc_RNA from 1 species